rnacentral:lncRNA from 1 species
CUCAUGCGCACUACGCCUAAUACAUAUGUAUACUACCUGGCUCAAGACCCGGAGCACGGAGUCCCCUUCUGCUCCUUCUCAGUCCGUGGUCAGAACUGCUCAGGCCUCACUCCAGCUCUUUGCUUUUUACAGCAAACCUGAAAAUAGGCACUUAAUAGUCUUUCCUUCCGUGAGGUUUGUCUGCAUGGCAACUGUGCCUGUCGUCCCGCCCCUGGUGCCUAUGUGCAGAGUGGUCCCACAGGACUGCGAAGCAAGGAUUGAAACCAACAGAUACAAGUGCAACUUUGGAUGGAUGGUCCCUCGUGCUGGUCUGCUGUGGAGUCAGGAAAACUGCUAGUGCUCCGAGCCUCCUGGGCCCUCCACUCUGCCACAAAUGUGGACAAUGGUUAGGAAAACAGUGUCAUUUAUCACUUGGAAGCAACAUUUCAAAAGCACCAUAACUGAGAUUUGAUGGUGGUAUCUUUCCUUCAGAGUAUUCCUGAGUCCAGUUUGGUGAUCAUGAAUGCCAGUGGUUCUAGCAAUCCAGGUGGAAGCCACCGGGCAGGUGAGCACGGGUCAAAGCAAGGCAUGUCUGCCACUAUAGUUCACGACUCCUUCAGCGGUCCAGGUAAGGGUCCAAGCUGGUCUUCAAUGUGAAGUGCUCCAGAUGAGACCCUCCUCACAGUGUUGGAAAUGAAGAAACACCCGGGAGGCUGCCCAAUCAGCGGAGGGAAGCACGGUCCCAUUGGGCGCCGAUUUUAGCUCUAUGGUAAGUGUGGCCCAGGCAGGGAUGGGGGUGUUAAGAUAAAGAUCUUAACAGAGGUGUGCGCAGUUCAAGCAAAUGUGAGGUUUCCUGAGCUAGCCAGCAGUGGCUACACAUCUUUGGUGUAGGGUCUGAGCACUUAACUCCCGUUUUAGGGGGUGGGGUGACCUGGGGACCUGGAGCGAGAGGAGUCUGAGUUUAGACUGCAGAAGACUCCCGGGAGCCUGUCUGCGCUGCCCCCUCCCCCUUUCCUUGCCUCCACCCCACUCCUCUCUUCCUUACCUCGCGGC